AAACAAUAUUUAUUUCAAACAAACAAUAUUUUGUAAAUUUAGAAGAUAUUACUUGUUUAAAAUAAAAUAUUUUUUAUUUUUUCUAAAAUAUGUCAUUGGUACUAUUCAAAUAACCAUAUAUUUAUCGAAUCAAGCAUUUUUUUCUAUCAGUGUAUAUGCGAACAUAAUUUUACAUAAGCGUUGUUGUUACAACAGGUGUUCUGAUAUAAUCCAGAACGCCAGACACUUCGAUCCAAUUGGAAUCCACCUUACCGCAUAAUUAAACCGAAGAUAACUCCCACGAUUAUUAUCUCGUGUCGAGUAGUGACAUGCACAUAUUGCGAAUGGAUCGCAAAUGCGUGUAAAAUAAUUAUCAAGAGUCAGGAAAGCAGAAUUUCGUCACACUUAUUACAUAAACGUCAACGUUGACGAGGUGAAAAAAAAAAGAGAAGUUUCUUAAGGUCGACUAAAGGUCGUUCUGAAUGUCUCCUGACCGGAACCAUGAUUUUACUUGCAUAAAUUGAUUCUAUCGCGUCCUUUCGCGCAGCGAAAGACAGAAGCAAAUAGCAUGCUUAGAGAAAAUAUUUUCUGACUCUAAAUGUGGAUAUUCCGACGGCGAUAUGGAAACAAGAGAGACGAGAGACGUUCUCCGCGAGUCGCGCGAAUAUAUGAGCUUUGACUCUUUCCGGGAUGUUUUUUUUUCUCAGAAGAUCAUCGUUUCCAUCUCUCGUUCGAAGGAGGCACGACCCAUGGAUCGGGAAACAAUCGUCGCCGCUUUGAGAAUCGUCACGGAGAGAUACACGCGAGAUCGACGAGGGUUAAACGGCCAGUGAGAUUAGUAGCCGCGAUUACGUCCCAGCGUGACGCUGCACACUUGGGUUCCCCUAUCUUAUUAGCUUAUGUAACGACAGAUUAAUUGACACGCGUAUGUACUCGUCGCGAAUUGUUGCGCAAAAACUCGCGAAAUUGCCAGCUUGCCCAGCUGAAGGGCGGCUUCCGGAGGAUCGGGGUGAUCGGAGGUCUCGUGAUCCUCGUGACAAUGAGCUCUCCGGAAUCACCUCCUUGACAUCUGGAAUAUCAGUCCCGGGUGGACAAUCGAGGAAACACAGGUCGAACAUAGGUCAUCUCGAAAUAACAAGCCACCUGUCAAGCUAAAAUGCUGAGCACCUAACCUCAACGCGGCAAUAUUUUUGGCAGCCGAGAGGUUCGAAACCGGGAUGGGAGAAAUCGGAAAGACUUCGUCGAAGAUUUUAGAAAACUGAUCCCAGUGGUACAUCGUGCUAUAAUCUUCUCGACCGUGUCAGCUUUCUGCCCUUGACAAGUGAAACAGAAGGAAGAAGAAGAGGUUAUAUGCGGACCAGGAGGAGCAAGUUGACGAGCAGCGAAAACGAGACUCCGACGAGUUCGGAAUUUACCUUCCUGUCGUCGACCUGCAGCAUCGUCGAGUGAGAAUGCGUCAACACCGUCGAGACGAUUGGUGCGUGCCCUUUACCCACGGUGAAGGUCACAAUUAGUCGCAACGAUGAUCGAGACCUGUCAGGUCCGAUCGCUGCCGAACGGAACUACGCGGCCGCCUAGGCGAAACCGUCUAUAAUCUUUUAAAUUUAAACUGUUGCGAAAGAAUUAUUUUUACACCAUUAUUUUUACACCUCACACGUAUACAUAUGAUACCCUUGACCGCAAAAGUAUGCCGGUUCGUUUCGUGACGUGUCCUUGCGGCCGAUAAGUCGCGUUAUAGCGGCCGAUUUUAUCGACAAUGCUUGUAAAAUAUAAAUAAUCUACAUUAUACGCGUGUGAUGUAAACUAUACAUAUAUGAAAAUUGUGGUUUUGUGUCAUUUACGUAAAUAAUAAUUUGUUUAUUAUAGAAAA
rnacentral:lncRNA from 1 species